UACGAAGGGGGCUAGCGUUGCUCGGAAUCACUGGGCGUGAAGCGCACGUAGGCGGAUUGUUAAGUCAGGGGUGAAAUCCUGGAGCUCAACUCCAGAACUGCCUUUGAUACUGGCGAUCUCGAGUCCGGGAGAGGUGAGUGGAACUGCGAGUGUAGAGGUGAAAUUCGUAGAUAUUCGCAAGAACACCAGUGGCGAAGGCGGCUCACUGGCCCGGUACUGACGCUGAGGUGCGAAAGCGUGGGGAGCAAACAGG
rnacentral:rRNA from 1 species